AGAACCUGAAACCCUGCACUUACAAGCUGUGGGAGCACAUUACUUGUGUGACCGCGUACUUUUUGUAGAACGGGCCAACGAGUUACGUUAAGUAGCAAGGUUAAGCACUUAAGGUGUGGAGCCGUAGCGAAAGCGAGUCUUAAAUGGGCGUCCAGUUACCCGACGUAGACCCGAAACCAGGCGACCUAUCCAUGAGCAGGUUGAAGCGAAAGUAAAAUUUCGUGGAGGACCGAACCCACGAGCGUUGAAAAGCUCGGGGAUGACUUGUGGAUAGCGGUGAAAUUCCAAUCGAGCCCGGAGAUAGCUGGUUCUCCCCGAAAUAGCUUUAGGGCUAGCCUCAAGCGUAGAGAAACGGAGGUAGAGCACUGAAUGUCCUAGGGGGUAUUGCACUUACCGAAGACUAUCAAACUCCGAAUGCCGUAUUCUUUUGCUUGGGAGUCAGACUAUGGGUGAUAAGAUUCAUAGUCAAGAGGGCAACAGCCCAGAUCGUCAGCUAAGGUCCCUAAAUGUAAGUUAAGUGGUAAAGGAUGUGGAAUUGCACAGACAACCAGGAUGUUGGCUUAGAAGCAGCCACUCAUUUAAAGAGUGCGUAAUAGCUCACUGGUCGAGUGAUUCUGCGCCGAAAAUUUCCGGGGCUAAAACUUACUACCGAAGCUACGGCAUCAUUAUGAUGGGUAGGGGAGCUUUCUAUACGGGUUGAAGCAUGACCGUAAGGACAUGUGGACUGUAUAGAAGUGAGAAUGUUGGCAUGAGUAGCGAGAUGUGGGUGAGAAUCCCACAGGCCGUAAACCCAAGGUUUCCAGGGGAAGGUUCGUCCGCCCUGGGUUAGUCAGGACCUAAGCCGAGGCCGAAAGGCGUAGGUGAUGGACAACAGGUUGAUAUUCCUGUACCACCAAUAACCGUUUGAGAAAUGGGAUGACACAGUAGGAUAAGCUAACCGCACUGUUGGUUAUGUGCGGGCAAGUAUUGAGGCAGUUCCGAUAGGCAAAUCCGUCGGAAUAAUGCUGGGGUACGAUGCGGAGCGAAAUUUAGUAGCGAAGUAGCUGAUUUCACACUGUCGAGAAAAGUCUCUAUCGAGGUUAAAGGUGCCUGUACCGCAAACCGACACAGGUGGGUGAGGAGAGUAUCCUAAGGCCAGCGAGAGAACUGUUGUUAAGGAACUCGGCAAAAUGACCCCGUAACUUAGGGAGAAGGGGUGCCUUCGAAAGAAGGCCGCAGAGAAUAGGCCCAAGCGACUGUUUACCAAAAACAUAGGUUUCUGCUAAGUCGCAAGACGAUGUAUAGGAGCUGACGCCUGCCCGGUGCUGGAAGGUUAAGGGGAUCUGUUAGAGCAAUCGAAGCAGUGAACUUAAGCCCCAGUAAACGGCGGCCGUAACUAUAACGGUCCUAAGGUAGCGAAAUUCCUUGUCGGGUAAGUUCCGACCCGCACGAAAGGCGUAACGAUUUGGGCACUGUCUCAACAACAGACUCGGUGAAAUUGUAAUACCGGUGAAGAUGCCGGUUACCUGCGACAGGACGGAAAGACCCCAUGGAGCUUUACUGUAGCUUGACAUUGAGUCUCGGUGCUACAUGUACAGGAUAGGUGGGAGACUAUGAAGCAUGGACGUCAGUCUGUGUGGAGUCAUCCUUGGGAUACCACCCUUGUAGUACUGGGAUUCUAACCAGAGGCCAUGAAUCUGGUCUUGGGACACUGUCAGGUGGACAGUUUGACUGGGGCGGUCGCCUCCCAAAAAGUAACGGAGGCGCUCAAAGGUUCUCUCAGUACGGUCGGAAAUCGUACGAAGAGUGUAAAGGCAAAAGAGAGCUUGAUUGCAAGACAUACAGGUCGAGCAAGGACGAAAGUCGGACUUAGUGAUCCGGUGGUUCCGCAUGGAAGGGCCAUCGCUCAACGGAUAAAAGCUACCCUGGGGAUAACAGGCUGAUCUCCCCCAAGAGU
rnacentral:rRNA from 1 species